GCAUUGGUGUGGUUCAGUGGUAGAAUUCUCCGCCUGCCACGCUGGGAGGCCGGGUUCGAUUUCCCGGCCAAUGCA